rnacentral:rRNA from 1 species
UACGUAGGGGGCAAGCGUUGUCCGGAUUUAUUGGGCGUAAAGCGCGUGUAGGCGGCUCGGUAAGUCUGCUGUGAAAGUCCAGGGCUCAACCCUGGAAUGCCGGUGGAUACUGUCGAGCUCGAGUCCGGAAGAGGCGAGUGGAAUUCCUGGUGUAGCGGUGGAAUGCGCAGAUAUCAGGAAGAACACCCGUGGCGAAGGCGGCUCUCUGGGACGGUACUGACGCUGAGACGCGAAAGCGUGGGGAGCGAACAGG